UUCUAUCUCCAAUUAUGAGGGCCUCUUUUGUAGUAUGUCUUCUUUUGGCUUCCAUGAUCCUUCUUCUUCCUUCCUUGACAAAAGCUCGAGAACUGUCUCAAACUGGAGAAACAAGUAUUCAUCACAAGAGUACUACUGCAGCGGAUUUACCCGCCCCUCCUGUUCGCAACUGCAACCGUCCUCCAAAAUAUUCUUCUUGCCUGCCUACUAAGCCAAAGCCACCGUCAGAGAAAUGUAAGCCGACUUACAGUCGUGGAUGCUAGGUGCAGCCCUUUCAAAAAGAAAUAUCUGGCUUCACUAAUGGAGUUGUACGUUGCUGGCUCUCAGAUGGCAAUUAAGUUGUAUCAAUUAUUUAAGUUGCUUAAUUAAUUAUGUGAAGAGGCCGGAAUUAAUGGUGAAGAAUAACCACACAAUUAGCCUUGGGGAAAUUAGUGAUGGCUUCUGCUGUUAUGUGUUGUAUCUCUGUAUUUCCUUUCCUUGCUGUAAAACUAUAUAUAUAUACUUUUGAUGUCAUAUUUAUUUGCU